UACGGACAUAUCACGUUGGAACACCGUUUCUCGUACGAUCACUGAAGUUAAGCCACGUCCACUGUGAUCAGUACUUAGAUGGGCGACCAUUUGAGAAUACCAG